UUUCUGCUGAGGACGACCGGUCCGCCCUCUGGGUGAGUAUCUGGCUUGGCCUUGGCAUCUUCUUGGAGAACGUAGCUGCACUUGACUGUGUGGUGCGGUAUCCAGGACUUUUACUUUGAGGAAAUUAGAGUGUUUCAAGCAGGCACACGCCUUGAAUACAUUAGCAUGGAAUAAUAAGAUAGGACCUUGGUUCUAUUUUGUUGGUUUCUAGAGCUGAGGUAAUGAUUAAUAGGGAUAGUUGGGGGCAUUCGUAUUUAACU
rnacentral:rRNA from 1 species